UGCUGGGGGUAGUUGGUGGGGGAUGGGAUAAGUGGGUGAGAUGGCCAUUAAGGAGGGGACUUGCUGGGGUGAGCACUGGGUGUUACAUGUAAGUGAUGAAUCACUAAAUUCUACACGUGAAACCUGGAAGUUAGCUUCUGC